CAUUUAUCGAUGAUGUUCUGUAAUAAAUGUCUGAACAGAUGACUUUCGCUGAUUUCUCUUCUGUCGCUGAGAUGAAUG